rnacentral:rRNA from 1 species
AUACGGAGGAUCCGAGCGUUAUCCGGAUUUAUUGGGUUUAAAGGGAGCGUAGGUGGAUUGUUAAGUCAGUUGUGAAAGUUUGCGGCUCAACCGUAAAAUUGCAGUUGAAACUGGCAGUCUUGAGUACAGUAGAGGUGGGCGGAAUUCGUGGUGUAGCGGUGCAAUGCUUAGAUAUCACGAAGAACUCCGAUUGCGAAGGCAGCUCACUAGACUGUUACUAACACUGAUGCUCGAAAGUGUGGGUAUCAAACAGGAUUAGAUACCCUGGUAGUCCACACAGUAAACGAUGAAUACUCGCUGUUUGCGAUAUACAGUAAGCGGCCAAGCGAAAGCAUUAAGUAUUCCACCUGGGGAGUACGCCGGCAACGGUGAAACUCAAAUGAAUUGACGGGG